AAACCUUAGGGAGCUACCAUUUGAUUUUUAUGGGGGGGCUAGGAUGAAAAAUUUUGUCCUGCAUUUUUUUUUUAGCGGUAAUCUCUGUCCUGCUUUUUUAUUUUUCACUCUGUUCGGUCCUGCCUUUUUUUUUUAGUUUAUCCUGACUUUUUUUUACCUAAAUUGUCGUCCUGACUUUUUUUUUUUUGCAAGUGUCUCAUCCUGCCUUUUUUUUUUUAACUCAAAACUCCUGUCCUGCCUAUUUUUUUCAAAUUUCAUCCUAGCCCCCCCAUAAAAAUCAAAUGGUAUGUCCCUUAAUUUAUCUGUCUGAUUUUGAUGUUGACUUUUUCUUCUUGAAAGGAAUUGUGGUUUUUCUUGUUGUUUCUAAUUUUCUCUUUCAUUUAAUAUUGCUGACAUGUUUGUUUGUGUUGGAACAAAGACUUAUAUUCUAGCCCAGUAAAACAUUGAUGUAUUGACGACCAUUGUUGAUUGCUGGCACACUGUAUAUAAACUUUGGUCCACCAUUAUGCAUAGUUUGGGAUGCUUUCUUUGAAAUAAUCGAUUUGAUGAGUUCAUUUUUUUUUUUGCCUUGAUGCAAGUUGAGAUUAUCUAAAAAAAUAGAUUAUCAGAAAAUACUUCCUUUAUUUGGCUUUAAAUAAAAUCAUCAUCAUGAUCACUGCUAUUAUGCUUAUGCUGACAGAGCUUGCUUUACAUGUACU
rnacentral:lncRNA from 1 species